CUACUGAUUUCGCCAACCCGGCUGCCUUGUGCAUAGCAGUCUGUCGUUAUUGGCAGGCGACGCUUGAUUGAGGCUGGGAGAAGCCCCCCCUCGCGGGACUUAACCAGCAGCCGUUAUGUCCAACAUUUCGGCCCACAGAUCAUCUUCAGGCGGUCUCCCUUGUCCGAGGGAUUAAGAUAUGACCGGUCCCACCUCGCAAUGGGUGGAAGCCAUGUUCCGUAGGUGAACAGGUUUGCCUACUGCAUUGGUCACAAUGCGCGGUCUGCACCAGAAGAGUGCAGGCAACAUCGUUUAAAUGUUGAGCGUCCUUGGCGUUUGCCUCGAACAAUCGGCAGCCAGAGCCGUGUUGCCUGGCCCACAGAUCACCCGACGAUGGCCCAAGUGGUUAAGAUAUGAUCGGUCCCUGCCUGAAAAGGCGCCGGAGGCGCGGAACCUGCGGAAGGAUCAUUA
rnacentral:rRNA from 1 species